UACGGAGGGAGCUAGCGUUGUUCGGAAUUACUGGGCGUAAAGCGCACGUAGGCGGCUUUGUAAGUUGGAGGUGAAAGCCUGGAGCUCAACUCCAGAAUUGCCUUUAAGACUGCAUCGCUUGAAUCAUGGAGAGGCGGGUGGAAUUCCGAGUGUAGAGGUGAAAUUCGUAGAUAUUCGCAAGAACACCAGUGGCGAAGGCGGCUCACUGGCCCGAUACUGACGCUGAGGCACGAAAGCGUGGGGAGCAAACAGG
rnacentral:rRNA from 1 species